rnacentral:rRNA from 1 species
GCGGCCUCGGCCAUCCUUGAGAAGAGCUGUUCUGGCAUUCAGUUGUCGGGGCGGGGAUUCUCGACGUUUACUGUGAAAAAAUCAGAGUGUUCAAAGCAGGCUUACGCCUUGAAUACAUUAGCAUGGAAUAAUGAGAUAGGACCUUGGCGGUCUAUUUUGUUGGUUUGCACGCCGAGGUAAUGAUUAAAAGGGACGGUUGGGGUUCUUCGUAUUCAAUUGUCAGAGGUGAAAUUCUUGGAUUUAUGGAAGACGAACUGCUGCGAAAGCGUCGAACAAGGACGUUCU